AUUAUCUAUGCAGGAUUGUGCCGGAAUGCGUGUGAGGGAGAGAGAGAGAGAAAGUGGACUUGAUUUGUAUUACCAGAAUCUAUCCAGAAAGUUGCAAUCUUAGGAUCGAAAUUCCCAAUCUCUAUUGUCUCUCCAACAUUGUCUCCAAAAAACUGCCACCAUAUUUUUCUCGGGCUCCCUUCGUACUCAAAUACCCUUGAAUAAAAGUAUGGGAGAUAAUCAUAUAAGGUAGUCUGAGCAGUAAGUAAUGCUUUAACACAAUGCUGUGCCGAUCUACGAGCAUGGUCUACAUGUUCAACUCUUGCUGUACGGUUAUACAUCUUUAAGGGGAAUGCUGCGACAUCUCCAAUUGAAAAAAUUCCAGUUAUAUUUGUCCUGAACAAACCAUCAACCUGUAUUCCACCAACAGUGGUAUUCAACCCCACUCUUUCAAAGGGACUGACAGCUGGCUUUGCCCCAAUACCUAUUAUUACCGUGUCUGCGUCUAUAAUAGAUCCAUCUUCAAGUUUAACAGAAGCUACCCGUCCAUCUGUACCAGCUUCCAAGUUUUUUAUAGAGGCACCCUUUAAGAAUUUGACACCAUUCUCUUUGUAUAACUCUUCAUAUCUCUGAGCGAGUGAAGGAGUGAAUAACCUUUGCAAAAGAUGCUUCUCUGGAAAAAUGAUUGUAGUAUCAAGUUUCCAACCAACAGCUGCCGCCGCAACCUCCAUGCCAAUGUAACCACCACCAACGACCACCACCUUCCGUGCCAUCUCCAAAGAUGAUAUUAAUGCAUCAGCAUCUGCAACAUCCCUGAUGUAGUGAACACCAGGUAAAUUUCCUCCUAUUUUCUCUGGAAAUCUUGAUGCUGUACAUCCUGUAGCAAUGAUAAGAGUUCCAUACUUGAGAAGCCUGCCUGAGUUUGUUGUGAGUGUUUGCUUCUCAAUAUCAAUGCUUGUCACUGGAUCUUCAUACAACAUCUCAAUCCCUUUCUCUUUAUACCAAUCUGAAGUUUGCCUUUCGCCACCAGAUCCAACACAAGUAUGAAAUCCAGGCAAACGCGCGGGCUUCUUAUCUAGAGGAAACAAGUACCCUUUAGUUAAAGCUGGUCGC
rnacentral:misc_RNA from 1 species